UGUUAGAUGGAUGACUUGGUUCGAAACGCCGAAGAAGGACGUGACAAGCUACGAUAUGCUCUGGCGAGUUGAAUGUAAACAUUGAACCAGAGAUUUCCGAAUGAGACUUCUCUCUUAAAGGCUCUUCGUGAGCCGGGGAACGCAGGGAAUUGAAGCGUCUUAGUACCUGCAGGAAAAGAAAUCAAUCGAGAUGCCGUAAGUAAGAGCGACUGAAAGCGGCACAGCUCAAACUGAAUCCAUUAUAGUAAUAUGAUGGAGAUGUGGUGUUUGGUCUUCCUUUAGGCCUUUUUUUUGACUCGAAGUUUCCUGGAAAGGAACACGAUAAAGGGUGAUAGUCCCGUAGAGGUAGAAAAAAAGGUUUUCGGAAGUUUCCAGAGUACUGCUUCUUGGAAAUGAAGUGGGAAUAUGGGGGACAUUAACCUCUAAAGCUAAAUACGUUUCGAAACCGAUAGCAAACGAGUACCGUGAGGGAAAGUUGAAAAGAACCCUUGACAGGGAGUUAAAAGUUCCUGAAAUCUAACAGCUAUAGUGAGCUACGGCUCUUAGGAGUUGUAGCGUGCUUUUCGAAUAAAGUGCCAGGGAGUGCAUUUAAGUGGCGAGGAUAACUUGUAAAAAGGUAUCCUAAGCGAAAGCGAGACCCCGCAGUUUACGAGGGGGGAGGUAUGAAAGUGCCUUUAGUCACUUGGAUGCUACCUGAAACCGAGCGAUCUAUUCCUGGGCAAGAUGAAGCGAUGGUAACACAUCGUGGAGGUCUGAAGAAGUUCUACGUGCAAGUGUUUUUCUGACCUGGGAAUAGGGGUGAAAAGCCAAUCGAGCUCGGCUAUAGCAGGUUCCUACCGAAAUUGACCUUAGUCAAGUCUCAGACGAGAUCGUUAAGGUUGUAGAGCUACGGAUAGAGGAUUUAGGCGAGGAAACUUGUCGGUCUUUUGUCCAACUCCAAAUGCUUUAACAUCGUAGACUCUGGGAAACAGGGAGUCUUGGGGUAAACUUGACUUCCGAGAGGGGAACAACCCAGACUAUGGUUAAGGCCCCUAAAUGCUAACUAAGUGAUAAAGGGUUUAAGGGUGUUCAUGAUCUUAGACAGCGAGGAGGUUGGCUUAGAAGCAGCCAUCCUUUAAAAAGUGCGUAACAGCUUACUCGUUGAGUUCGUGAGCCCCGAAGAUUGACGGGUCUAAGUUAGCUGCCGAUACCAUAGAUCACAAAUAGUGAGCGUAGGUAGGCGUACUUUUAGGGUAGAAGCUUUUUCGUGAGAAGAAGUGGACCUUGAAGUAAUGAAUAUCCUGGUGGUAGUAGGAUCUUAGCAUGGUGAGAAUCCAUGUCGUCGAAAGGGCAAGGGUUCCUUGGCAAUGUUCGUCAGCCAAGGGUUAGUCGGUCCUAACCAAUCUCUUAACUGAGUUAUGGGAAAGAGAAAGAGGUUAAUAUUCCUCUACUGAUUUGGUAUGCGUGGCAACACAAGCUUUAUUUCUGACACUUUGGGAUAGGUCAAGACAUUGUUUCAGAUGUUUUAACCUGGAUAAAUGUGGGGAGUAUCUUAAUGAUGAGAACCAGAUUAAACCAGGGAUGAGCAGGCCUAUGGUCUGUUUGGCUGAGUCCUGGAGUCCUUGAAAAGGGAAUAAAGAAAAAUCCAAAACAACCGUACCCAGAACCGGCACAGGUGCCCCUAGGUGAGUAGCCUAAGACGUGUGAGUUUAAUCUAGCUCAGGGAAUUCGGCAAAAUAGUCCCGUACCUUCGGAAGAAGGGAUCCCUGGACUUGUAUCUGUAUAGGUGCGAGUUCAGGGCGCAGUGACUAGGGCGGCCCGACUGUUUAACAAAAACUUAACCUUCUGCCAAGCUGUAAAGCUAAGUAUAGAAGGUGAUAUCUGCCCAGUGCCAGUACUUUAAGCCUCGGUUCAACGGGGUGAAGAGCUGGUAAACGGCGGGAGUAACUAUAACUCUCUUAAGGUAGCGAAAUGCCUUGCCGGUUGAAUGCCGGCCUGCAUGAAUGGUAUAACGAGGUUGCCACUGUCCCGAGCUAGAGUCUCCCGAAUACUCUUUCCUGGUGCAAAGGCCAGGGAUUUCCAGUGGGAAGCGAAGACCCCGUGAAACUUUACUGUAGCCUGCCGCUGUGGUGCGGCUGUUAUUACAUAGUGUAAGUGGGAGCUGUUAAGCGUAUGUUUUUGGACGUGCGAUAGGCGACAAUGUAACACCACUUUUUAAUGACUUCAUCACUCACUCUUUAUGAGGACACCGGUUGGUGGACAGUUUGGCUGGGGUGGCACGCUGUUGAAAAGAUAUCAAUAGCGCCCAAUGGUAGGCUCAUCCGGUUUAGAAAUCCGGAGUUGAGUGUAAGGGCAAAAGCCUGCCUGAUUGGACUUUAAACAUAACAAAUUCCAAACACGAAAGUGUGGCCUAGCGAACUCCCAUACCUUCUUAAUGAGGGUUGGGAAUGACUGAAAAGUUACUCCGGGGAUAACUGAGUUGUCGCGCCCGAGAGUUCAUUUAAGUUUAAGCAAAUUUAUUUGUUUUACUUAUGAAUAGAUCGACGGCGCGGUUUGCUACUUCGAUGUCGGCUCUUCCUAUCCUGGCGGUGCAGAAGCUGCCAAGGGUGGGGGUGUUCACCCGUUAAAAGGGAUCGUGAGCUGGGUUCAGAACGCUGUGAGGCAGUUUGUUUGAUAUCUACUGGAAAUGUUUGGUGUCUGAAAGGAAGGAUCUUCUAGUACGAGAGGAACGGAGGUUCGUGGCCUCUGGUCGAUCGGUUAUCCGAAAGGGUACGCCGAGCAGCUACGCCAUAAGCGAUAAGUACUGAAAGCAUCUAAGUACGAAGCGUACCUUGAAAAUAGAC
rnacentral:rRNA from 1 species